rnacentral:piRNA from 1 species
UGAUCUCCUAGUUUGAUUAUGCAUUGUAAU